rnacentral:rRNA from 1 species
AAAGCGUGCGCAGGCGGUUAUACAAGACAGGCGUGAAAUCCCCGGGCUCAACCUGGGAACUGCAUUUGUGACUGUAUAGCUGGAGUGCGGCAGAGGGGGAUGGAAUUCCGCGUGUAGCAGUGAAAUGCGUAGAUAUGCGGAGGAACACCGAUGGCGAAGGCAAUCCCCUGGGCCUGCACUGACGCUCAUGCACGAAAGCGUGGGGAGCAAACAGGAUUAGAUACCCCUGU